AUUGAACGCUGGCGGCAGGCCUAACACAUGCAAGUCGAGCGAGCGGCGGACGGGUGACUAAUGCUUGGGAAUCUAGCUUAUGGAGGGGGAUAACUACGGGAAACUGUAGCUAAUACCGCGUACCAUAGGAGGAGCCAAAGGGGGAUUAGGUAGUUGGUGAGGAAAAGGCUCACAAAGCCGACGAUCUCUAGAUGGUCUGAGAGGAUGACCAGCCACACUGGGACUGAGACACGGCCCAGACUCCUACGGGAGGCAGCAGUGGGGAAUAUUGCACAAUGGGCGCAAGCCUGAUGCAGCCAUGCCGCGUGUAUGAAGAAGGCCUUAGGGUUGUAAAGUACUUUCAGCGGGGAGGCGUUACCCGCAGAAGAAGCACCGGCUAACUCCGUGACAGCAGCCGCGGUAAUAC
rnacentral:rRNA from 1 species